AUGAACGCUAGCUACAGGCUUAACACAUGCAAGUCGAGGGGCAGCAUGGUCUUAGCUUGCUAAGGCCGAUGGCGACCGGCGCACGGGUGAGUAACACGUAUCCAACCUGCCGUCUACUCUUGGACAGCCUUCUGAAAGGAAGAUUAAUACAAGAUGGCAUCAUGAGUCCGCAUGUUCACAUGAUUAAAGGUAUUCCGGUAGACGAUGGGGAUGCGUUCCAUUAGAUAGUAGGCGGGGUAACGGCCCACCUAGUCUUCGAUGGAUAGGGGUUCUGAGAGGAAGGUCCCCCACAUUGGAACUGAGACACGGUCCAAACUCCUACGGGAGGCAGCAGUGAGGAAUAUUGGUCAAUGGGCGAGAGCCUGAACCAGCCAAGUAGCGUGAAGGAUGACUGCCCUAUGGGUUGUAAACUUCUUUUAUAAAGGAAUAAAGUCGGGUAUGGAUACCCGUUUGCAUGUACUUUAUGAAUAAGGAUCGGCUAACUCCGUGCCAGCAGCCGCGGUAAUACGGAGGAUCCGAGCGUUAUCCGGAUUUAUUGGGUUUAAAGGGAGCGUAGAUGGAUGUUUAAGUCAGUUGUGAAAGUUUGCGGCUCAACCGUAAAAUUGCAGUUGAUACUGGAUAUCUUGAGUGCAGUUGAGGCAGGCGGAAUUCGUGGUGUAGCGGUGAAAUGCUUAGAUAUCACGAAGAACUCCGAUUGCGAAGGCAGCCUGCUAAGCUGCAACUGACAUUGAGGCUCGAAAGUGUGGGUAUCAAACAGGAUUAGAUACCCUGGUAGUCCACACGGUAAACGAUGAAUACUCGCUGUUUGCGAUAUACUGCAAGCGGCCAAGCGAAAGCGUUAAGUAUUCCACCUGGGGAGUACGCCGGCAACGGUGAAACUCAAAGGAAUUGACGGGGGCCCGCACAAGCGGAGGAACAUGUGGUUUAAUUCGAUGAUACGCGAGGAACCUUACCCGGGCUUAAAUUGCAGAUGAAUUACGGUGAAAGCCGUAAGCCGCAAGGCAUCUGUGAAGGUGCUGCAUGGUUGUCGUCAGCUCGUGCCGUGAGGUGUCGGCUUAAGUGCCAUAACGAGCGCAACCCUUGUUGUCAGUUACUAACAGGUUCCGCUGAGGACUCUGACAAGACUGCCAUCGUAAGAUGUGAGGAAGGUGGGGAUGACGUCAAAUCAGCACGGCCCUUACGUCCGGGGCUACACACGUGUUACAAUGGGGGGUACAGAGGGCCGCUACCACGCGAGUGGAUGCCAAUCCCAAAAACCUCUCUCAGUUCGGACUGGAGUCUGCAACCCGACUCCACGAAGCUGGAUUCGCUAGUAAUCGCGCAUCAGCCACGGCGCGGUGAAUACGUUCCCGGGCCUUGUACACACCGCCCGUCACACCAUGAGAGUUGGGGAUACCCGAAGCCUGUGAGCCAACAGUAAUGAGGCAGCAGUCGAAGGUAGAAUCAAUGAUUGGGGUG
rnacentral:rRNA from 1 species